GAGACUUUUUGAGAAGCCUAAAUUAGUAGAACUGAGAUAUGUGAACUGCCUUCCAUCCAAUUCAAGUGUCAGAAUUCUGCAACAGAAUUGUCUCCAGAAGGGGAAUGUAGCCUUAUAUCUGGAGAGUCCAAGGAUUACUACUACACUCUUGCUAUAUGAGUAGCCUGUCCACACUGCUAUAUUGUGUUUGCUGUAAGGUGCUACUGACCCAGCAGCUGCAACACACUACACCAGUCCAAAAGGGAGAUAGAAGCUGCUGCACUUUUUCCCUGGAGAAAAAUGAUGGUUACUCAAAGAGAGUCCAGAAGUCAUCUUUGGUGUCUGGAUGCUGUCUCUGCUUCAGAGUCUCUCUGCCACAGAAUGAGCAUCCAUGCAGUCCCCUUCCUCAGCUGCUGCCUGUGACAUGAAGGAGAACAUGUGGAUGACACAAAGCAUCCAAAAGCCUUGACCCAACAGGCUGAUCCACUGCUAACAUGGAGCAGUGUAGCUGCAUAUUUGUGCGCUCUGAGGAGUUGGCCCCAAAGGUGACAAACUCACUUAGGAAUUAGUUGUGUAUUCUGUGACUGAUAAUACCAGUUUAAACAGGAAUGUGUAGUCUAGCAUAGCAGUUUAAAGUUGUAUAAACUGACUGUGACAUUGGUGCCUCUCCCAUAAGAAUUACAAGCUCUGUUCAUACAAAUUAGGGUUCUUAGAAGAAUAAGGUGAGGAAGCU
rnacentral:lncRNA from 1 species